UACGUAGGGCGCAAGCGUUGUCCGGAAUUAUUGGGCGUAAAGAGCUCGUAGGCGGCCUGUUACGUCUGCUGUGAAAUCCCGGGGCUUAACCCCGGGCGUGCAGUGGAUACGGGCAGGCUGGAGGCAGGCAGGGGAGAACGGAAUUCCCGGUGUAGCGGUGAAAUGCGCAGAUAUCGGGAGGAACACCAAUGGCGAAGGCAAGUCUCUGGACAGUUCCUGACGCUCAUGCACGAAGGCCAGGGGAGCAAACGGG
rnacentral:rRNA from 1 species